CAACAUUAUUGCUCGCAGCGUUGCGAGAGGGCUGUUGUUGGCUUGAUGACACAUGAAGUCACACCUAGGGUGUGCACUGUCAUGUCCUCGGCUCCGAUCACGUCGCGCAUAGGGGAUGCAGUCAAUUUUGAAGUGAUUUAGAAGGAUCCCUCCACGACGCUUGGCGGAGUGGUGAUGUGCAAACUAUCUGCGUCCACGAAUGGUUCCUGAAUUGGAUCCCAUGUUCCGUCUCCGGCAUCGAUGUUGCCUUCCGCCCACGAUGGUCAGG
rnacentral:lncRNA from 1 species